rnacentral:rRNA from 1 species
AGAGUUUGAUCCUGGCUCAGGACGAACGCUGGCGGCGUGCUUAACACAUGCAAGUCGAACGAUGAAGCCAGCUUGCUGGUGGAUUAGUGGCGAACGGGUGAGUAACACGUGGGCAACCUGCCCUCAGCUCUGGGAUAACUCCAAGAAAUUGGUGCUAAUACCGGAUAUUCAUUCAGCCUCGCAUGGGGUUGUGUGGAAAGUUUUUCGGCUGGGGAUGGGCCCGCGGCCUAUCAGCUUGUUGGUGGGGUGAUGGCCUACCAAGGCGACGACGGGUAGCCGGCCUGAGAGGGUGACCGGCCACACUGGGACUGAGACACGGCCCAGACUCCUACGGGAGGCAGCAGUGGGGAAUAUUGCGCAAUGGGCGGAAGCCUGACGCAGCGACGCCGCGUGAGGGAUGACGGCCUUCGGGUUGUAAACCUCUUUCAGCAGGGACGAAGCGAAAGUGACGGUACCUGCAGAAGAAGCACCGGCCGACUACGUGCCAGCAGCCGCGGUAAUAC